ACAAAACAUGAAAAAAUUUUCGUUCUUUUAGAACGACCUGAAAGACAUUGGUUUGUUUCUUAGUUAGACUAAAAUUUUUGUUUUUUUUUAUUUCUAUUUUGGAUUGAGGUUGAAUCAAACUACGGAGUAAAACUAUUUUGAAAAACUAAAAAUGUAUUUUUCAUAGAAAAAAAUUAAUCGAAACUGAAGCUAUUUUUCCUUAUGUUACAAUGUUUGAACAUGUAUAACUUCUGCAAUUAUUGAUAAAAUUCAUCGAAAUAAAAAGAAAUAAGUACCUCAACUCAAAUACUAACACAUUGAUUAGUUUAAGAAAUUUAUAUUAAGUUUUAAGGUCUUAAACAACAAAAAAAUACUAAAAAGUCAUUUUUUCUUAACUUUUUUUUUUUUUUCAAAGUAUGAUUUUGAUUUUUAUUUUAUUUAAAAGCUUUGUUUAUGAACUAUGGAGUAAAACUAUAUUUUGUUGGAAAAUAUUAUUUUGUAACCCUCCAAUCGCUUUUUAAGUAGUCCAAAAAAUAAUAAACUGUACUAUGAUACCAGAAUUUUUAGAUUUUUUGUUAUAUUUUUUUUAUUUUUUUUUUUCAUUAUUUUUUCUAUCAAUAUCAAGUUAGAAAAUAAGAAUUGCUAUAAUAGUUUUCUUACAAUUAAUUUUUGAAAAAGAGUCUACUUUCCAUUUUUUUCCUCAGAAAUUCAUGGAAUGCGUAUGUAUUGGAACUUGUAGUUCAAACAAAUUCCGCUGGCGCUAGUUGUAUCUCUCUCUUUACUAUCUUCUAUUUUGUUUUUACAUGAUCUCUCGCACUCGCUCUGUCGAGUGGUUGUUUGGUGGUAUAAAGAAUAAGAUGAACUUAGGUAUCUGCAUUCUAAAUAUUGUUUGUACCGUUUGUACAUAGGUUUUUCCAUAAAAAAGGAUUGGCGAAAAUGAGAGGAUACAGGAAAUGGAUCUCUCGCACGUUUGCAAUGUAUGGUAUCUGGUGUUGCGUGGUAGGUAUAUGGAAUAGGAUAAACAAGUUUUUUUUUGUAUUCUUGUUUUUUUUUUUGUAAACUGGUUUAUUUAUCUCUUUCAUAAAUUUAUGAUGUUGCAUGUUAGGUAUUCUUCUGAGCAACUGUAUGGAUAUAUUUUUUUCUAUGAAAACAAAAUUUGGAAAGACAGGCAAUGAAAUUGUCUUUUUCUGUGAAAUCGCGCACAACUUUUCUGCUUCUCAAUUACCUCAUUUGUAUAAUUUUUCAAAACAAACUAAUGAGAAAUAUGACCAGUCAAAAACUUCGCUUAGUAGGCGAAGAUGGCAUCUGUGAAGUCAAAUGCCCAUCAUCAGUCAAAAACUUGACUAUAAGCGAUGCAGUUGAAAAGAAAAAACUAAAAUAUCUUCAGAAAAGCGGAGAUACUUUUGUACUAAAAAAAAACGACGAUUAUUUUUAUCAAGUGCAAGGACAACUGCACAUUACAAAACGAUCCCAUUGUUUUUUUGGUGUAUGGACAUCAUGCGAUUUUGUUUAUAUAAAAAUACAAAAAGACGACUCAUUUUGGGAGGACAAAAUAAAAAACAAACUACUAAAUUUUUAUAAUAAUCAUUUUUUAUUGGAAUUAUGUGAUCCACGGAUUCCAAGAAGUAUGAGGGUAUGGAAUACGUAAUAUAACAGCAAACGAUCUACUUUCUAUUAGAAUAUUAUUACUUUUCAAAACUAUGUGUAUUUUUCUAAAUCUGUAACACUAUUUUCUUUUUUCGUUCCAUACCUUCAAAUUAAUUUUCAAUAUUCAGUAAUAUUUUAUCUAAAGCAGUCUAACAUUUAAAUUGUUUUUUGUUUUUUUAGUUAUAAGGAAUUUGUUAUGUUUAUCACCUUUCUAAAUAAACUAUUGAGUAUCUUGUACCUACUUUUAACCCCUUGUAACCCAACAUCGGAAAUUUUAAAAUUAAUAAUGUCAAUCGACUAGCCUUUAGCUAUAAUAAAACACGUAUUUUUUAAAAAUUCAAUAUCUUUAUUAUUUACUUAGUUAUUUCGAAGUUUAAGGAGUAAAAAAAUAAGUUUAAAUAAUUUAUUUUUGUAGAUAAAUGCAAAAAUUGAAGCAAAAAACUUUCUAAUAUUUAUUUUUAGGCGGAUUCCUAAAAUCCAAAAAUAAAACCCCGUUACUUUAUGCAGAAAAAAUAUUUUUUCUGAAUUUCGUUGUUUUUACACAAAUUUGCUUGUUUUCAAAAAAAGCCGAACUUUCAACUUUAACUGCCAGUUAAAAACUAUUGGUGUCAUUCAUUAAAAUAUGAUGUACUAUUUCGAUAAAGCAAUAUCUAAAAAAUAUGUUAUAAGCUUCAAAAGAAGAAAAAUAUAGUGUUUGCAACUUUUGUGGGACCUUUGUUGGUUUGUAACAGAUAUGUCACAUGGGGCUACAAGGGGUUAAUAAUGAAAUAAAAUGUAUUGUUUUUGUACCAAAACUAAUUAAAAUCCAAAAAAUUAUUAUUAUAAUUUCGUAUGUAAAAACAAAAAAUAUUUAUUUAUUUAUUUUAUCUAACUUAAUUGAAGAGAAAAAUAUACAUAUAUACAGGGUGUCCCAAAAGUAAUGGAUCAAACGAAAUAUGCUGAUAGGCCAACUUUAGGGCUCUCAGAAUUUAGUAACUUGUUCAUCCCGAAUCCUUACGGUUUUCAAUUUAAUGCAAUUUUUGUGAAUUAUCGAAAAAUCUCGACUUUGCAACAGUAUUUUGCUUCCUCCGCUCAUAAUUGAUUUUUGUUUUUUACAAUUCUUUCACUAAAACAUUGGCUAAUAAGAAUAAAUAAUUAUUUAAUCAAAAUAUUUUUUAUUUCAUACGCCAUUUUGCUGCAAAUUAAUUAACAGUUCCAUGUUUUAUAAAAACUCAAUUACUUAAUUUUUUUUUUCAGAGCAACACACUGCAAAAAAUUUGUAUGGUGUGACACAGGUUAAUUAUUUUAAAAACUUGCCGUGUUAUUGCACUUUUCAAAAAUGUAUAAAAGUUUCCAAACUUGAAGUUAGAACAAAAGAUAUUACAAUUUUAAUGCAACAAAACAGGCCUUUUCAGAGAAAAAUAACAAAGAAAAAUAAACACAUUUCCUCGACUGUUGUUUGUUUAUUUCUUUUUGAAUAAAAGCCUCGAUUUUUGUUUGUUAUUUUGCUCUGAAAACCCCUGUUUUUUUUGCAUUAAAACUGUAAUAUCUUUGGUUCUAAUUUGAACUUUGGAAAUUUUUAUACAUUUUUGAAAAGUGCAAUAACACGGCAAGUUUUUAAAAUAAUAAACCAGUAUCACACCAUACAAUUUUUUUUCGGGAUGUUCCUCUCAAAUAAAAGUAAGAAAUUGAGUUUUUAUAAAAUAUGGAACUGUUACAUAAUUUGCAGCAAAAUGGCGUAUGAAAUAAAAAAUAUUUUGAUUAAAUAAUUAUUUCUUAUUAUUAGGCAAUGUUUUAGUGAAAGAAUUGUAAAAAACAAAAAUCAAUUAUGACCGGAGGAAGCAAAAUACUGUUGCAAAGUCGAGAUUUUUCGAUAAUUCACAAAAACUGCAUUAAAUUGAAAACCGUAAGGAUUUGGGAUGAACAAGUUACUAAAUUCUGAGAGCCGUAAAGUUGGCCUAUCUGCAUAUUUCGUUUGAUCCAUUACUUUUGGGACACCCUGUAUA